UGGGGAAUCUUGCGCAAUGCGCGAAAGCGUGACGCAGCAACGCCGCGUGGGGGAAGACGGCCUUCGGGUUGUAAACCCCUUUCAGGAGGGACGAAGGUUCACCGGUGAAUAGCCGUGUGGAUUGACGGUACCUCCAGAAGAAGCUCCGGCUAACUACGUGCCAGCAGCCGCGGUAAUACGUAGGGAGCAAGCGUUGUCCGGAAUCAUUGGGCGUAAAGCGCGCGUAGGCGGCCCUGUAAGUCCGUUGUGAAAGUCAAAGGCUCAACCUCUGAAAGCCGAUGGAUACUGCAGGGCUAGAGUCCGGAAGAGGAGAGUGGAAUUCCUGGCGUAGCGGUGAAAUGCGCAGAUAUCAGGAAGAACACCGAUGGCGAAGGCAGCUCUCUGGGACGGUACUGACGCUGAGACGCGAAAGCGUGGGGAGCGAACAGGAUUAGAUACCCUGGUAGUCCACGCCGUAAACGAUGGGUGCUAGGUGUGGGAGGUGUCGACUCCUU
rnacentral:rRNA from 1 species